rnacentral:rRNA from 1 species
AUUGAACGCUGGCGGCAGGCCUAACACAUGCAAGUCGAGCGGUAACACAGAGGAGCUUGCUCCUUGGGUGACGAGCGGCGGACGGGUGAGUAAUGCCUGGGGAUCUGCCCGAUAGAGGGGGAUAACUACGGGAAACUGUAGCUAAUACCGCAUAAUGUCUACGGACCAAAGUGGGGGCUCUUCGGACCUCAUGCUAUCGGAUGAACCCAGGCGGGAUUAGCUAGUUGGUGAGGUAAUGGCUCACCAAGGCGACGAUCUCUAACUGGUUUGAGGAAAUGACCAGUCACAGUGGACAUGGGGCAGGGUCCGGACUCCUACGGGAGGCAGCCGUGGGGAAUAUUGCAAAAUGGGCGCAAGCCUGAUGCAGCCAUGCAGCGUGUGUGAAGAAGGCCUUCGGGUUGUAAAGCACUUUCAGCGGGGAGGAAGGGUCACUAGUUAAUACCUAGUGGCAUUGACGUUACUCGCAGAAGAAGCACCGGCUAACUCCGUGCCAGCAGCCGCCGUAAUAC